AUUGAACGCUGGCGGCAUGCCUUACACAUGCAAGUCGAACGGCAGCACGGAGCUUGCUCUGGUGGCGAGUGGCGAACGGGUGAGUAAUAUAUCGGAACGUACCCAAGAGUGGGGGAUAACGUAGCGAAAGUUACGCUAAUACCGCAUACGAUCAAAGGAUGAAAGUGGGGGCUCGCAAGACCUCAUGCUCCUGGAGCGGCCGAUAUCUGAUUAGCUAGUUGGUGAGGUAAAGGCUCACCAAGGCAUCGAUCAGUAGCUGGUCUGAGAGGACGACCAGCCACACUGGAACUGAGACACGGUCCAGACUCCUACGGGAGGCAGCAGUGGGGAAUUUUGGACAAUGGGGGCAACCCUGAUCCAGCAAUGCCGCGUGAGUGAAGAAGGCCUUCGGGUUGUAAAGCUCUUUUGUCAGGGAAGAAGCGGUGAAGGCUAAUAUCCUUUGCUAAUGACGGUACCUGAAGAAUAAGCACCGGCUAACUACGUGCCAGCAGCCGCCGUAAAAC
rnacentral:rRNA from 1 species